rnacentral:rRNA from 1 species
GAUGAACGCUGGCGGCGUGCCUAAUACAUGCAAGUCGAGCGAACAGACGAGGAGCUUGCUCCUCUGACGUUAGCGGCGGACGGGUGAGUAACACGUGGAUAACCUACCUAUAAGACUGGGAUAACUUCGGGAAACCGGAGCUAAUACCGGAUAAUAUAUUGAACCGCAUGGUUCAAUAGUGAAAGACGGUUUUGCUGUCACUUAUAGAUGGAUCCGCGCCGCAUUAGCUAGUUGGUAAGGUAACGGCUUACCAAGGCAACGAUGCGUAGCCGACCUGAGAGGGUGAUCGGCCACACUGGAACUGAGACACGGUCCAGACUCCUACGGGAGGCAGCAGUAGGGAAUCUUCCGCAAUGGGCGAAAGCCCGACGGAGCAACGCCGCGUGAGUGAUGAAGGUCUUCGGAUCGUAAAACUCUGUUAUUAGGGAAGAACAAAUGUGUAAGUAACUAUGCACGUCUUGACGGUACCUAAUCAAAAAGCCACGGCUAACUACGUG